UGUGAUGGAUUAUACUGUAAGAAGUAUAGCUGAUUUAAUAACACUGAUAAUAAAAUUAAAGUCAAGAGAAUAUCAGUCAAACUAAACGAAAAGAAACAAGAUAAUCGAUGGAAAUUAUUCCACGCGCAUUCCAAAAAAACCGACGCCACGACCUUGCUUGCAGAUGGUAUUUGCUUUCUUUGGAGCCGGUUUUACCUUUUCAGUCCAUUGUUUUGUUCAGUUGUUUGGGGUGUGAAGUAAUGGACCCACGUUUCAUUCAUGGUAAUGAAAUGGUGCAAAAAUUCGGAAUUAUUUCGUGUUAUUAUAAUAACACGAAAUAUAUGUAUCGCACUUUUUGAAAUACCUAGUGUGUCCACUGCAGGCAACUGCAUAAAAAACACUUGAUCUAGAAAAAAAUGCUCUGUGUGCCCUGAAGUGCUUUGAAGUACUUAUUUCAUCUCAAUUUCAAUCUCAAACGAUCUCAAAGUUUCUUAUUUCUUACAUUUUAUUGUAUGGCGAUAUUUCACAUUAACAGUGGUGAAAAUAACAUACUAUUCAAGAUAUUUUGAUCAAUGCAGAAACUCGGGUCCUUAAUUAAGUUUCUUACAAAGUUUCUGUUAUAUAAACAUACCGCAAACUUCAAGUUUAGAAGUAAUAUUUAGUUUAUAAAUAAACAUAUUUGCCAACUUCAGAACUAUAAAUCCACUUCAAAGUUUUAAUGACGUACCCACAUAGAGAGGUUAAACUCUUUUUUCAAAUAAAUUUGAAUUAUAACUUUAUAUUUCAAAUUAAAUAUUUUAUAUAAUCAAACUAAUAAUUAUAAAGAUGCUUUAAUUAAAAUUGUCAAUAAAAAUAACAAUUCUUUUUACAAACGCUUCUCAUUGGUCAUAAUGUGGUAAAUACGGAGCCAUGGCUCGGUUAGUGCACUUAAAAAUUUCAACAGCGGUUUCUUUUGGAGUCUUUUUCAUCUGAGAACAUUCCUUUACUGCGGCACCCAAUUGUUUAUGAUUGACAAUAAUAUAAUCCAAACUCUCUCUAAGUUUAGUUUUAUUGAUAUUAGCUUGUUCGUCCUGUAUCUCAAGAUGUCUGUAAAUACAAACAGCGCGACCGCCAAAUGCAGCGGAGUGCUAACAAGAUUUCUACUAUUGGUUCUUAGAGAGAGAGAGCGAAAUGCUUAUUGUCAAAAAAUUAUUACAAUUUGUGGACAAAAGCUUGUAAAAUUAAAAAACAAAUAUAAAAAUAACUAAAUAAAGAUACAAUUACAAUAAAAUUUCAGUCUACAGAAGGAAAUCGCAUUGAUUAACAAAAUUAUAGGUAAUAGUAAUAGGUAGUAAUUAGUAUAUAAGUCCAUAACAAAAUUAAACCGGUAAUUAGCGUGCCCGUAAUUAAAUAAUAUUAUUAGAAUAGAAGUCCUUUACAGAGGAUAAUGCACUUUCCAGUAAAUAUGCCCUCAAAUUAUUGCGAAAUGCAGGAAAAGAUGAUAUUGAUUUGAUUUCAACUGGCAAAUAAUUGUGCAUUUUUUUGCAUUGUGAAAUAUUACCUAUUAAGGUAGGUGAAGGUUGUGUUCCGCGUUCCCAAGUGCUACUACCUAUCUGAAAUUGGAGAAGCGUGCUUAUGAAUUUAAACGGAUUCAAAGAUUAAUACGGAAGGAAUAAAGAAGUCCCUGCAGUGAGCCCUGCUGUUUAGUCCGAGUCAAUAUCUAACUAUAGUCUCUUUUGAAGUGCCGUGAGAUCAGAGCUGCUCCAAGAGAAACUAGUGCUGCAAAUAGACAUAUUUUAUCACUGAUGUCUAGAUAGGCAAUGUAGUUUAUAAACAGAAGAAACAAAUUAGGACCUAGUACUGAGCCUUGGGGCACUCCACAUUCUAUUGGCUUGCAAGAUGACAUCGUUGUAUCAACCCUUACAAGCUGACUAAAGGGGUUUCCCUGAAGUCGUAGUAUUAAAAUUUGUUAAUUAAAGAUUUAAAAAUGUUUGAUUUAGGUUUUUUAUAAAGUGAGUAUAACAAACUAAACAUAAGCUACUUUCUUGGUACAUUUAAAAAUUCAGGUUUAGAUGCAAGUGUAGUAGGCAGCUGAACUAUUUAUAAUAUUCUCAUAUAAUCAUGAUUUAAAAUCUUGCUUUUGGUUUAAAACAGUGUUAAUGGAAUGUUUACGUUAAGUUAUUAAAAUAAUAUAACAUUACUGUUGUUAUACAUAAUUUAUUAUGAAAAAUAUUAAAUACAACUCAGUAAUUGCAA